CCACCACCACCACCACCACCAUACCUAGAAUUUCUCUCUCUUUCUUCACCAAUCUCCCCUCAUUGUCGCCGCCUUCCUUUUUUUUCUUCCAUUUUCUUUUCUUUUCUUCCUUGAUGCCACCGUCCUCGUAGUGGGAUUUGUGGGUUUUGUGGGUCAAAAUCGGUGGUGGGCGAAAUAGGUGGUAGAUUGUGGGUCGAAAUCGGGGGUUGUGGGUCGAAAUCGGGGGUGGUGGGCGAAAAGGUGGGUGGUGGGUCGAAAUCGGGGGUUGUGGGCGAAAUAGGUGGGUGGUGCUAGGUCGAAAUCGGGGGUUGUGGGUCAAAAUCGGGGGUGGUGGGUCGAAAUCGGGGGUUGUGGAGGAAAUAGGUGGUGGGUUGUGGUGCAAAAUCGGGGUUGUGGGUCGAAGGGGUGGUGCUAGGUCGGAAUCGGGGGCGGUGCGCCGGUGCUGGGUCAAAAUCGCUGAUGGGUGGUGGUGGGUUGUAGUGGGUUCGGUCUUUGCUGGUGGUGGUGAUAGGUGGACAGGUGGUGGUGGUGAUAGGUGGAUAGGUGAUGGCGGUGUUUCGUAAAUUCCAGUUUCUGGGAUUUCAACUUUGAUUUUUUUUUUUAAUAAUUUUUAAAGUAGGAUUAACACACUUAAGUGUAUGCCCUUAUUUUUCAUUAAUCAUGGUUUCAAUAUUUUGCCUAGGAGUCCGUUCUUCCCCUCUUUGUUGCGAGUAAAAAGAAACGGAGGGAGUAUAAGAAUUUUAUUUAACAAAGCCGAAAAGGGAACUGAAAGUUGCAAAACACGAGUCACGGUGAGAAUUUGGUAAGUUUUCAUGGGUUUUUCAGGCUCUAAAGUAACACGCAUGAAGCAUAGUAUUAUGUGAGCUUUCAGUCACUUCAAUUGUCCUCCAAUGGUAGUGGUCAUGGCAAGCCUUGUUUAUGGGACGAGUUAAGCGUCUUGCCUUAGCUACAAUUCAUAAGUACAUUUAAUCCUUUUGUUGUUUAUGUGUGUGGUUUGAUGUUUUUGGUUGUAAUGUAGUUCUUUUUAGCUCUUAUAGUUAUAAUUUAUGACUUUCAUUAUAUGAAAUCUUUGUAAAAAAAAUAAAAUAAAUAAUAACAAAAAAAAAAGGAAGCCAAAAAGAAACGAGGGAUGUUAUUUUGUUAA